UGUUGGUUAAGGUUGUGGCCUGCUUUUUGCUUUAUUUCUGAAUGGUCAUUAAUUCUUUAGGUCACCUGCCGAUGGUGAAGGUGCCUGAGGAGCCUGGUGUUACUCAGCACUGCUCUGCUGGGUGGGUGGAGCAGGGUUCUCAGUUGGUGCUUCACCUGCCUUGGCCUCUUUGCCAUCUUGUGAAGGAGCGUUAGGAGGACGCGGGCGACGCCGGUAAUUGUAGGGACGCCGGUAUCCACGGCGAACAGACGGCUGGUUUGGACCACUGGUGGCUUGCUGAUUUUCUUUAUCUUCAGCCUCUCCAACUGCUGGGGCAGGUCGUGGGCGAGGAGGUCCCCUGCUACGGUACCUUGGGCGGUAAGUUGGAUUUCGAUGAACCGGUCCCUGAAGUUGUGCUCCCUCUGGGACUCCAUCCUUCAUCUCUCCAAUCUCACCAGCCUGUAUUCUGUUGGGAUGGGGUAAGACCCGUGAGCGACGGUCAAAGGUCUGUCCCACGUGGUAAGGCGGGAACCGCCGCUGCCGGUACUGAGGGCGAUACUGGGGGCGGCGCAGCUGAUUCCGGGCCCCAGAGAACUGCCUAUCAGUGGCAGGGGGGUCAAAUCCUUCACUGCUGCCGCUCCCUUCCUCCUCCUCCUCCCCAGCGUAAUUCCGGGGAGGGCCACGGCGCCUUCCAUAGUAGCCACGUCUGUAACGGCGCCGAUCUGCAGCGUAACGACUCCCUUCCACAGGAACUCCAUCCGGGCCAGUCACAUUGGCAGCUUCUGCACCCUUCUCUCCUUCAACCACAUCAAACUCUACAGUUUCUCCAUCUCCUACACUGCGCAGAUAUUUCCGUGGGUUAUUCUUCUUGAUGGCAGUCUGAUGUACAAAUACAUCUUCUUUGGUGUCAUUUCGAUUUAUAAAUCCAUAUCCAUUUCUGACGUUGAACCAUUUGACAGUGCCAAGGACUUUGGUGGCGAGAACUUUUUUCUCCGCGUCUUCGCUGCCGGCGGCGGUGGCUAAAGAGGCGGCGGCCGCGGUGCCCGUGGCUGCGGGGGCCGCGUCCCCACCGGGGUUUCCUGCGACGUGGGCGGCGGGCGCCGGGGCCGCGGCCUGGGGCGCACCGCUGCCCACCGGGCUCUUGGGCGCGGGGUCCUGGGGAGCCGCGGCGGCCGCCUCCGUCGGAGCCUGCGGGAGGGUGGUGGUGGUGGUGGUGGUGGCCUCGCCCGCCUCACUCAUGCCUCCUCCUCCUCUGCUCUCGCUCAGGCGCCUCGGUGGCGGUUGGUCGGCGGUUAGCGCGGCUGGUGGUCGCGGCGGCCGGGGCUCGCUCUCGGGGAGGCCGGGGCGGAUCUCGCGGCGCAGGCGGCGGCGGCCGAGGUGGGGUCGCGCGGCGGAGGCGGCUCGAGCUUCGUGCUGCGCGCUCUCUCUUGGGCUCCUCGCUCGAUCUUACUGCCCCAAAAAUGGCC
rnacentral:lncRNA from 1 species